rnacentral:rRNA from 1 species
UACAGAGGGUGCAAGCGUUGUUCGGAAUUAUUGGGCGUAAAGGGAGUGUAGGCGGCUUGUUAAGUCUUCUGUGAAAUCUACGGGCUCAGCCUGUAACGUGCAGAGGAAACUGGCGAGCUUGAGUGUCGGAGAGGAUAGGGGAAUACCCGGUGUAGAGGUGAAAUUCGUAGAGAUCGGGUGGAACACCAGUGGCGAAGGCGCCUGUCUGGCUGACAACUGACGCUGAGACUCGAAAGCAUGGGGAGCAAACAGG